GGUGUAGGGUUAUGCUGUCAAAAAUAAAAAACAAAGAGUUAUUGUGUGAUUUAUGUGAAAAGGUUAUGUAACUGUACUCUGUUACUUUAAAUAGUGUUUUUUAUUUAAACUGCCAACUUCUUCAUCACCAGCAAAGAAAAAAAAUGCAUAUUUGCUAAGCACAAAGGUAAUUUUCAAGGACUGUAAUUAGCUCAUGAUAACUCUAUCUUUUGUGAUGUCUUUCCUGCUGAACUAGAAAAGAGAUGGACUUUUUUUUCAUUGUUAAAUCUAAACUGUGGCACCUGCAAUGUGUCAGUUCUAUGAGAACCAGGGAGGAAAAAAGUUUAAAGUAUUACACUCGGUCAGGGGAAAAAUACGGAUGUAAUAAAGUAACAGAUCUU
rnacentral:lncRNA from 1 species